rnacentral:misc_RNA from 1 species
GAUGAAGAACGUAGCGAAAUGCGAAAAGUAGUGUGAAUUGCAGAAUUCAGUGAAUCAUCGAAUCUUUGAACGCACAUUGCGCCCCUUGGUAUUCCAUGGGGCAUGCCUGUUCGAGCGUCAUUUGUACCUUCAAGCUCUGCUUGGUGUUGGGUGUUUGCCCCGCUUUUUGCGUGGACUCGCCUCAAAGCAAUUGGCAGCCGGCGUACUAGCCUGGGAGCGCAGCACAUUUUGCGCAUCUCGACUGGAACGCUUGCGUCCAUUAAGCCUACACUUUUGCUCUUGACCUCGGAUCAGGUAGGGAUACCCGCUGAACUUAAGCAUAUCAAUAAGCGGAGGA